GAAGUCUGAUGACCCUGUGUGGGUUGAUCAAUGGCCUUUACUGAAAAGCUACAAGCAGCACAUCAGCUGGUACAGGAGCAAUUGGCUGCUGGACGCUUAGUGACAAAGGAGGUGAAACUUAUCCAACAUUCAUUAUGCUUCUGGCUGCAAGUACAGAGUCUGUGACAAACAGAAGAAGGGAAAGGAGUGAAUAAAUACACUCAGAUGUCUAUACUCAAGAAAUGGAUCUGAUGAAAAGUAUACAAAUCCAGAAGAAACGUUCCACUGUCCUUCCAACUUCCAUUUAGAAUUGUGAUUAGACAACCAAGGACCAUGAGAUAUUUGAGGAUAAUAGCUGUAAGGAGAUAAUAACAUUUUAGAGAAAAACCACUGAGCAAAAAGAAUAUCUGACAAUUCUAGAAGCAUUCUAUUACUAUCUCAGAGAGGGUAUAGGGAAGAUUUG